CCUACGGGAGGCAGCAGUGGGGAAUAUUGCACAAUGGGCGAAAGCCUGAUGCAGCAACGCCGCGUGAGCGAUGAAGGCCUUCGGGUCGUAAGCUCUGUCCUCAAGGAAGAUAAUGGCGGUACUUGAGGAGGAAGCCCCGGCUAACUACGUGCCAGCAGCCGCGGUAAU
rnacentral:rRNA from 1 species